UAUUCUUCAUUAAACUACUC
rnacentral:tRNA from 1 species